CUUGCAAGUGUGGUUCCAGGACAAGCGCACGACGACGAAAAGAGCGCGGAGAAAAGCGGAAACGGGAGUGUGUGGGUCCGUUCUUGUGCUGUCUGUACAGGAAGCACUGAAUUUGCAGCCUUCUGGUGCUUUGCCGUCGGCGGUUCCUACUGCUUGAUGCUUACGGCGGAUCCCGAGGUCGUUAGCGUUGCAGACAUGAAGGAAUUUGUCUUGGAAGAACUGAAGAUGAAGGAUGAGCCAGUCGAGAUGGAUAUUAUGUUGGGGAAAAACGCCGCUGCGGACUCGGAUUUAAUCUCGCAGAUGAUCACGGAAGGGGAAUCACGAAACGUCUUGUUCAGUCCGCCCGUGAACAGAGUUUUUCUUUUCGAAGAUCUGAUUAAAAUACAAUUUUGUAGCUGUCACUAGAAAUCUUUCAGCGAUAUGGACUUUUUAGAAAACCAAUUUUUUCUUCAUGUUUUUCGUGUUUUUGUUUCCGAUUGUUUGCAGGUUGUGCACGAUGCACAAUCUGGAUUACUUGCUGAUUGCCGGUGAUAGCGUCUGUGCGAGACCUCAUCGAUCAACCGACAUUUCUCGACGGCUUACUGAGCUAGGUCCACGUGGGAAUAUUGUCUCAGAUAUCCCAUAAAGUGGCAUAAAAUAACGCUAAUACGGCGCUGUCGGUAGUAUUAUAGCUGAAAGUGUUUUCGGACCUGGGCACGGUGACGCAAAUGGACGUGCCCAUGGAAUGCACGGCGUGGAACACGACAGGGAAGCGCCAGUGCUGCGCAGCUGUAUUCUGAUUGGGGAUUGUUCAAUUUUCAAGGACCGAUUCGCGGAUUUCUUCUGGUUGGCGAGGGUGUACAAACGCUUGGACCGUGGCACACGACCAUUGUAAUUGACGGUAGAAACUGGCGGGUGCGCGUGUUUGACCUGAUUCACUAUGUGGCGCAGCAGCGUCCCGGAAUCCGUCUGUGCAGUCUAUUGCUCAGCCGUUGCGAACCGAACCUGCAUAUCAGCUGGGGUGUUGAACCUACGUAAACGGAAGUGUGCCAGCCGGAUCCUUCCAAAACUAUAUCGGACGAAAUUCGUAGCUAUUAUCCGUUAGACGAGUUUUUUGCGGUGUGCGGCAGUCUUCCUUGCGAAACCGUCCACUUGGCCAAUUGCAUCGUGCGUGUGGUGUAUGCUGCUCUUCUUUACCCGGGAUUCACGCGAUCGUGUGGAUAUCCUAUUGCGGUGAAAAUUCCCGCAGCGCGAUUCUCGCAAGGCCGGGAUAUCCGCUACCCUUUUCGGGAUACACUGGAAGUCACGCUGCCUGCACGGACGGAGGAAGAACUGCGCAGACUUCGGGAAGGACUGAAAUGGAUGCAAAAUGUUCGAACUCUGUGCGCGACGCAGACGGCCAAUUCGCGGGCGUCGGCGCAUUUUCGCGGGAAGCAGUGGUGCGUGGACGCAUGGAAGGCUUGCAACUGGUGCAGGCAGACGCAUCACCCGGCACUUUCUCGUGGAGCUGGAAAAGGAUACGGCUCAAUAAUCCCAAUCUGGCGGUUGGUUGCUCUUGGGUUUUUGCUAUCGUUAACACUGCGCGCAUUUUUGGCAUAUCUUUAGAUUGUAUGUACAGAUUUUAAUUGAUUCGCUACAUAAUUUUCUGCUUUAGUUUAGUAAGUCAGCGCCUCUUAUACCGGUUGAUAAGAUCCCCAGGACAGUUUUUCCUGGGAAUUUAUGUGACGUCAGU